rnacentral:rRNA from 1 species
GUGAAGCUGGAUUCGCUAGUAAUCGCGCGUCAGCCAUGGCGCGGUGAAUACGUUCCCGGGCCUUGUACACACCGCCCGUCAAGCCAUGGGAGCCGGGGGCACUUGAAGUACGCCGCCGCGAGGAGCGUCCUAGAGUGAAACUGGUGACUGGGCUAAGUCGUAACAAGGUAUC